AGAGUUUGAUCCUGGCUCAGAUUGAACGCUGGCGGCAGGCCUAACACAUGCAAGUCGAGCGGUAACAUUUCUAGCUUGCUAGAAGAUGACGAGCGGCGGACGGGUGAGUAAUGCUUGGGAACAUGCCUUGAGGUGGGGGACAACAGUUGGAAACGACUGCUAAUACCGCAUAAUGUCUACGGACCAAAGGGGGCUUCGGCUCUCGCCUUUAGAUUGGCCCAAGUGGGAUUAGCUAGUUGGUGAGGUAAUGGCUCACCAAGGCGACGAUCCCUAGCUGGUUUGAGAGGAUGAUCAGCCACACUGGGACUGAGACACGGCCCAGACUCCUACGGGAGGCAGCAGUGGGGAAUAUUGCACAAUGGGCGCAAGCCUGAUGCAGCCAUGCCGCGUGUGUGAAGAAGGCCUUCGGGUUGUAAAGCACUUUCAGUCAGGAGGAAAGGUUAGUAGUUAAUACCUGCUAGCUAUGACGUUACUGACAGAAGAAGCACCGGCUAACUCCGUGCCAGCAGCCGCGGUAAUACGGAGGGUGCGAGCGUUAAUCGGAAUUACUGGGCGUAAAGCGUACGCAGGCGGUUUGUUAAGCGAGAUGUGAAAGCCCCGGGCUCAACCUGGGAACUGCAUUUCGAACUGGCAAACUAGAGUGUGAUAGAGGGUGGUAAAUUUCAGGUGUAGCGGUGAAAUGCGU
rnacentral:rRNA from 1 species